GGACUGGCGAGCGACUCUCUGGUCUGUACUGACGCUGAGGAGCGAAAGCGUGGGGAGCGAACAGGAUUAGAUACCCUGGUAGUCCACGCCGUAAACGAUGAGUGCUAAGUGUUAGGGGGUUUCCGCCCCUUAGUGCUGCAGCUAACGCAUAAGCACUCCGCCUGGGGAGUACGGUCGCAAGACUGAAACUCAAAGGAAUUGACGGGGGCCCGCACAAGCGGUGGAGCAUGUGGUUUAAUUCGAAGCAACGCGAAGAACCUUACCAGGUCUGACAUCCUCUGACAACCCUAGAGAUAGGGCUUUCCCUUCGGGGACAGAGUGACAGGUGGUGCAUGGUUGUCGUCAGCUCGUGUCGUGAGAUGUUGGGUUAAGUCCCGCAACGAGCGCAACCCUUGACUUAGUUGCCAGCAUUCAGUUGGGCACUCUAAGGUGACUGCCGGUGACAAACCGGAGGAAGGUGGGGAUGACGUCAAAUCAUCAUGCCCCUUAUGACCUGGGCUACACACGUGCUACAAUGGACAGACAAAGGGCUGCAAGACCGCAAGGUUUAGCCAAUCCCAUAAAUCUGUUCUCAGUUCGGAUCGCAGUCUGCAACUCGACUGCGUGAAGCUGGAAUCGCUAGUAAUCGCGGAUCAGCAUGCCGCGGUGAA
rnacentral:rRNA from 1 species